rnacentral:lncRNA from 10 species
GGGUUCACGCCCUUCUCCUGCCUCAGCCUCCCAAGCAGCUGGGCCUACAGGCACCAGCCACCAGGCCUGGCUAAUUUUUUAUUUUUUUUAUUUUUUUAGUACAGAUGGGGUUUCACCAUGCUAGCCAGGAUGGUCUCUAUGUCCUGACUUCAUGAUCCACCCACCUCGGCCCCUCAAAGCGCUGGGAUUACAAGCAUGAGCCACCACGCCCCGCCGGGACUAUAGCAUUUCUAAGCACUACAUCCAAAUUACGUGACUCUCUUGCCUGAUCCUUGCAAAAGGAGACUUUGUAAGAUAUCUCUGGGCCUAUUGUUUAGGUGAUACAAGUCUCCUCUUCUACCUGGACACAGCCCAUAAGGUGUAUUGUGUUAUACAUCUUGAUGUAACCCCCAAGUUAUGCAACUUUUCUGCCUGGAGCAUGCCUGUAAGGAGAAUAUUGGAAAUUUUCUGGCUCAGUAUUUAGGUGCCUUGGCUGUCAUGCCUGUUUCAUUAACACAGACUAAGUUGUGAUAUAUACCCAAGCACAGCUCAUAGGCAUGAUAAUGACUGUCUUAUGUGGAUCCCACAAAUAGAAUUUUAACUCUCAUAAAUUUCUUUAGAGACACGAGUAAUUAAAUCCCUAUCUGGUAAAAAAACAAGGUCAAAGAAAAUUAUAACAGCCUCACAUAUUUUUUAAAGCCUUUGGCUUGUACCGAGUGUGUCAUAACAGAAACCAGCAGAAAGAUGAAACUGUGAGUCUCAAAUGCACACCCAGCUGACGUGAUGGUACUCUUUUGCCAGGGUCAUGUCUCAAGGAGAACAUUGCAACAUAUCUCUGUGCCUAUCGCCUGGGUAACGCAACUCCCUGCUUCAGCAUGGCCCACAAAGAGCAUUGUGACAUAAAGGGCAAUACUUAAAGUUGUGAGUUGCAUAGUGGCAGAAAGCUCACAGCAGCUUACAACGCUAACUCAUAUUCUAAAAACUGCUUGGGCCCAGCCAGAGAUUAAGAUCAUGACUCUUGAUUACACAUACAGGCCCACACCACAGAUGAAAUUGUGCCAUAUAUGGAAGAAGCACCUAAGCAAUAUGUAACACCUUCGUUGGCUCUGCCUACAAAGGGCACUUUUGUAUAUCACUGGGACCACCACCCUGGUGA